rnacentral:rRNA from 1 species
CCUACGGGAGGCAGCAGUAAGGAAUAUUGGUCAAUGGACGAAAGUCUGAACCAGCCAUGCCGCGUGAAGGAUUAAGGUCCUCUGGAUUGUAAACUUCUUUUAUCUGGGACGAAAAAAGGCGAUUCUUCGUCACUUGACGGUACCAGAUGAAUAAGCACCGGCUAACUCCGUGCCAGCAGCCGCGGUAAUACGGAGGGUGCAAGCGUUAUCCGGAUUCACUGGGUUUAAAGGGUGCGUAGGCGGGCAGGUAAGUCAGUGGUGAAAUCCUUGAGCUUAACUCGAGAACUGCCAUUGAUACUAUCUGUCUUGAAUAUUGUGGAGGUAAGCGGAAUAUGUCAUGUAGCGGUGAAAUGCUUAGAUAUGACAUAGAACACCUAUUGCGAAGGCAGCUUACUACGCAUAUAUUGACGCUGAGGCACGAAAGCGUGGGGAUCAAACAGGAUUAGAUACCCUGGUAGUCCACGCCCUAAACGAUGAUUACUCGACAUUUGUGAUACACUAUAAGUGUCUGAGCGAAAGCAUUAAGUAAUCCACCUGGGAAGUACGAUCGCAAGAUUGAAACUUAAAGAUAGUACGACGAGAGAGAGCGACGACGACGACGAGGAGGGAGGNG